UACAGAGGGGGCUAGCGUUGUUCGGAAUUACUGGGCGUAAAGGGCGCGUAGGCGGCCCUCUAAGUCGAACGUGAAAUCCCCGGGCUCAACCCGGGAACUGCGUCCGAUACUGGAUGGCUUGAAUCCGGGAGAGGGAUGUGGAAUUCCAGGUGUAGCGGUGAAAUGCGUAGAUAUCUGGAGGAACAUCGGUGGCGAAGGCGGCAUCCUGGACCGGUAUUGACGCUGAGGCGCGAAAGCCAGGGGAGCAAGCGGG
rnacentral:rRNA from 1 species